rnacentral:rRNA from 1 species
ACAUGCAAGUCGAACGGUGUCUUCGGACACAGUGGCGGACGGGUGAGUAACGCGUGAGAAUCUGGCUUCAGGUCGGGGACAACCACUGGAAACGGUGGCUAAUACCGGAUGUGCCGAGAGGUGAAAGGCUUGCUGCCUGAAGAUGAGCUCGCGUCUGAUUAGCUAGUAGGUGGGGUAAAGCCUACCUAGGCGACGAUCAGUAGCUGGUCUGAGAGGAUGAUCAGCCACACUGGGACUGAGACACGGCCCAGACUCCUACGGGAGGCAGCAGUGGGGAAUUUUCCGCAAUGGGCGAAAGCCUGACGGAGCAAUACCGCGUGAGGGAGGAAGGCUCUUGGGUCGUAAACCUCUUUUCUCAGGGAAGAACACAAUGACGGUACCUGAGGAAUCAGCAUCGGCUAACUCCGUGCCAGCAGCCGCGGUAAUACGGAGGAUGCAAGCGUUAUCCGGAAUGAUUGGGCGUAAAGCGUCCGCAGGUGGCUAUGUAAGUCUGCUGUUAAAGAGUGAGGCUCAACCUCAUAAAAGCAGUGGAAACUACAUGGCUAGAGUGCGUUCGGGGCAGAGGGAAUUCCUGGUGUAGCGGUGAAAUGCGUAGAGAUCAGGAAGAACACCGGUGGCGAAAGCGCUCUGCUAGGCCGCAACUGACACUCAUGGACGAAAGCUAGGGGAGCGAAUGGGAUUAGAUACCCCAGUAGUCCUAGCCGUAAACGAUGGAUACUAGGCGUGGCUUGUAUCGACCCGAGCCGUGCCGUAGCUAACGCGUUAAGUAUCCCGCCUGGGGAGUACGCAGGCAACUGUGAAACUCAAAGGAAUUGACGGGGGCCCGCACAAGCGGUGGAGUAUGUGGUUUAAUUCGAUGCAACGCGAAGAACCUUACCAAGACUUGACAUGUCGCGAACCUUUGUGAAAGCAGAGGGUGCCUUCGGGAGCGCGAACACAGGUGGUGCAUGGCUGUCGUCAGCUCGUGUCGUGAGAUGUUGGGUUAAGUCCCGCAACGAGCGCAACCCUCGUUUUUAGUUGCCAGCAUUAAGUUGGGCACUCUAGAGAGACUGCCGGUGACAAACCGGAGGAAGGUGGGGAUGACGUCAAGUCAGCAUGCCCCUUACGUCUUGGGCUACACACGUACUACAAUGCUACGGACAGAGGGCAGCAAGCAUGCGAAUGCAAGCAAAUCCCGUAAACCGUAGCUCAGUUCAGAUCGCAGGCUGCAACUCGCCUGCGUGAAGGAGGAAUCGCUAGUAAUUGCAGGUCAGCAUACUGCAGUGAAUUCGUUCCCGGGCCUUGUACACACCGCCCGUCACACCAUGGAAGCUGGCAACGCCCGAAGUCAUUACCCCAACUUUUCGGAGAGGGAUGCCUAAGGCAGUGCUGGUGACUGGGGUGAAGUCGUAACAAGGUAGCCGUACCGGAAGGUGUGGCUGGAU